AUGCCAGACUCCUACGGGAGGCAGCAGUGGGGAAUAUUGCGCAAUGGGCGAAAGCCUGACGCAGCAACGCCGCGUGGGUGAAGAAGCGCCUCGGCGCGUAAAGCCCUGUCAGCAGGGAAGAAAAUGACGGUACCUGAAGAAGAAGCCCCGGCUAACUACGUGCCAGCAGCCGCGGUAAUACGUAGGGGGCAAGCGUUAUCCGGAUUUACUGGGUGUAAAGGGGGCGCAGACGGCGAUGCAAGCCAGGAGUGAAAGCCCGGGGCCCAACCCCGGGACUGCUCUUGGAACUGCGUGGCUGGAGUGCAGGAGGGGCAGGCGGAAUUCCGUGUGUAGCGGUGAAAUGCGUAGAUAUACGGAGGAACACCAGUGGCGAAGGCGGAUUGCUGGACAGUAACUGACGCUGAGGCGCGAAAGCGUGGGGAGCAAACAGGAUUAGAUACCCGGGUAU
rnacentral:rRNA from 1 species